GGUGGUAAAUAAGUGGGAGGAGUUAAGGUGGUCGGGCGUGGUGGUUGGGGACAUUUAGGAUCGGGAGAACCCGGGUAGCAGACUGGUUUAGGCGUUGUUGGCUUAGGACACCUGGGGUCAUUUGAUCCAGGGAAGCAUCGUGGUGGUUCAGGUGUCGUAGGCUUGGGACACCUGGGAUCAGUUGAUCCCGGGAAGCACCGUGGUGGCUCAGGUGUCGUUGGCUUAGGACAUCUAGGGUCAGUUGAGCCAGGGAAGCACCUUGGUGGAGCAGGGGUUGUUGGUUUGGGACAACGUGGGUCCGUGCUUCCAGGGAAGCAUCGAGGUGGUUCGGGUGUCGUUGGCUUAGGACAUCUUGGAUCGGUACUACCUGGGUAGCACCUUGGUGGAGCAGGAGUCGUUGGCUUGGGACAUCUGGGAUCAGUUGAUCCAGGGUAGCAACGUGGUGAUUCGGGUGUCGUUGGCUUAGGGCAUCUAGGAUCGGUAGAACCGGGGUAACAUUUAAGUGCCGGCGUCACUGGUGGUAAAUAAGUGGGAGGAGUUAAGGUUGUCGGGCGUGGUGGUUGGGGACAUUUAGGAUCCGGAGAACCCGGGUAGCAGACUGGUUUGGGUGUGGUUGGCUUUGGACACCUGGGGUCAUUUGAUCCAGGGAAGCACCGUGGUGGCUCAGGUGUCGUUGGCUUAGGACAUCUAGGAUCAGUCGAGCCAGGGAAGCACUUUGGUGGAGCAGGGGUUGUUGGUUUUGGACAACGCGGGUCG